rnacentral:tRNA from 1 species
GUCUCUGUAGCUCAAUUGGAUAGAGCAGCGACCUUCUAAGUCGCAGGUUGCUGGUUCGAGCCCAGCCAGGGACGCCA